GGUAACCUGAGGGCCGAACCUAGACCGGUGUAAGGGUGGAAAUCGGGGUUGGUGGUCCACGUUGUUCGGGGCCCCAAACUCGGGCGGGGAAAGUUUUGCAGAAUGCUGAUAUCUAUGGACUCUAACAUGGACUUCAUUUAAAGAAAUCCACGGACCAUCAAUGGACCAAAACAUGAAACAAUUUGUGUUGUGGCAUUCAGAUCCUAACACUUUGGGAAAGCAUCAAGUACAAGUUUUUGAAGACCCUGGGGCCUACCAUCAUUACGCAUUCAAGAUUUGAGUUUGAAUAACUUCAUCAAGACUUAGAUCCUCUUCAAAAGCCUCAAGUCUCAGCUGCAUUAAAGCUCUCCAUUGAACUUUCUCACAAAACUAGAAGCUUAAAGGGACUAAAAUUCAUUAAUACACUCCACUGUAUAGCCUUUUCUCUGAUUUCUCUUCAUGAAGUUCCCUUGGCCUUUAUGGCUUUCAUGUUGCUUAUGUUCCUUUAGAGCUAAGAAAACAGUACUUUCCAAAAGAACUUAUGUCCUGUGGCCACAGUUUUCAUUGGUAAAGGAGCAUAAACUUGGCAUGAUAAGUUUAGAAUCAGGUCUUUUGUUGUAUUAAGUCAACACUAAGAAAAAGAAAAUGAAAUUGAAGUGGUAAAAAUAUUUGAGGUCAGAUCAUACUCUCAGAGGUUAUGUGGUUUAGAGAAAAGAGCCCUUGGCCUUAAAGUUAAUAAGUUCUUACUCUGUCUCUUAUGAGAUAUUCAGUAACUGGGAAAGUCACUGAACCUCUCUGAACCCUAACUUCAUCUGUAAAGUAAAUCUGAUAGUAUUUUCCCUGCCUACCUCACAGGGUUGUUGUGAGGAUCAAAUGAGAUAAUGUACAUAAAAAGGACUUAUAUAAAAUGUGCAGUACACAUGUUGGAGUCUGUUACACAGUUGCCAGUCCUUCCUUCAGCUCUUGGACCUAGGAAGGUAGGUGAUUUAAAACACACUGAAAGCAUGCACUGUGUCUGAGCUGGAUACAUAGUAAUAAGGCUGUUAAUUUUUGUUUUCUCUGAAUACUAGAAUACUCUCGUGGGCUAAUUAUAAGGAAGAAAACUAUAAGUUUCCCUACAAGUUAGCAUUGAUAAUGCCUUAGACAAGUUAUAUGUUAUAACAUUCAUGUUUGCAAAAUUUAUUUACUAAGUUGUGGCCAGCAUUUUUUUAAAAUUAAUGAACAGCAGAAAAUUUCACAAUGCAUCUCAAAUGGUAAGAGUAAAUAUUGUUUUAGCUAUAUAUGUGUGAAUGUGUGUAUGUUUGUGUAUUUGGUCAUUAAAUAAAAUGAUUUUUUCCUUUGA